rnacentral:rRNA from 1 species
UACGGGGGGGGCAAGCGUUGUUCGGAAUUACUGGGCGUAAAGGGCGCGUAGGCGGCCUUCUAAGUCGGACGUGAAAUCCCUCGGCUUAACCGAGGAACUGCGUCCGAUACUGAAAGGCUUGAAUCCGGGAGAGGGAUGUGGAAUUCCAGGUGUAGCGGUGAAAUGCGUAGAUAUCUGGAGGAACACCGGUGGCGAAGGCGGCAUCCUGGACCGGCAUUGACGCUGAGGCGCGAAAGCGUGGGUAGCAAACGGG